CUCAUCGUUACCAUCUUUGGCUGUCAAAUAUAUUUCUGUGCUACAAUUUUAGCUUAGGACCCUUAUGUGUAUCAUUUCUACAUAGAAAUAUUGUCCAAGAAAGGACUUGAAUAGGUUGUCCAUUUACUACUCUCACAUGGCAUCAUCUGAAGAUAACUCUUUGGGUUACUAUUUAUGUAGUAUGCACGUGUAAAAAUAAAUGCCAAGCCACUUAGUUGAGUUUUAAAGUAUGAUUCGUGCACCAAGAUACUUGUAGAAGAUACUAUUGCAGCUUAUGAUCUGUUCGGGAUCUCUACAGUGCAAUUGUUUAAGAGAAUUAGACAAUUAUAGUAUUGUUUCUUCCCAAUUAUUAUUUGGAAAAAUAGGCGGCAUGCACUAGAAUCAAGCCUAACCGCUUGGCUUGUUAUUACAUUGUGCUUCUACAUUACAUUGCUUCACUGUUUGAAUUUCAUCUCUAUUUUUGUUAGUAGUAAUAGUUAACAUGUUUGUGUUAUGCAUUAGUAAACUUUUUUUGCUUGUAAGUUUCAAAGUAUACACACUAUUUUUAAUGUGCAAAGUGGCAUGCUACUUAUUUCAGUUUAUUGUUGCAAAAUUAGCCAUUUCGGUUUGUUGUAGGUCAGCAUGGUACAAGCCUACAAGGAGAAAGUUUAUCCAAAAAACAAGUUGAACUGCUGCAGCAUGAGCCAGA
rnacentral:lncRNA from 1 species